rnacentral:rRNA from 1 species
CAACUAUACUGUGAAACUGCGAAUGGCUCAUUAAAUCAGUUAUCGUUUAUUUGAUAGUGCCCUUUACUACUUGGAUAACCGUGGUAAUUCUAGAGCUAAUACAUGCUUAAAACCCCGACUUCGGAAGGGGUGUAUUUAUUAGAUAAAAAACCAAUGCCCUUCGGGGCUCUUUGGUGAUUCAUAAUAACGCAACGAAUCGCAUGGCCUUGUGCCGGCGAUGGUUCAUUCAAAUUUCUGCCCUAUCAACUUUCGAUUGUAGUUUAGUGGACUACAAUGGUUUCAACGGGUAACGGGGAAUUAGGGUUCGACUCCGGAGAGGGAGCCUGAGAAACGGCUACCACAUCCAAGGAAGGCAGCAGGCGCGCAAAUUACCCAAUCCCGACUCGGGGAGGUAGUGACAAUAAAUACUGAUACAGGGCUCUUUUGGGUCUUGUAAUUGGAAUGAGUACAAUUUAAAUCCCUUAACGAGGAACAAUUGGAGGGCAAGUCUGGUGGGACACGUCCCACUGCUGACGCCAGAAAUAGUGGCUUCAGCCACUAGUCGAGCGCCUGUCAUUGAUGGGUAGGCGCCGGCAAGGUAACCCGGUACGGGGGACUUCUCGCGAGAGAAGACCCCGUGGUGAGCCCCUGAUCUAGAGGGGUCGCCGUAACGCGCGGAAGGGUACCGCCUGAUCCGUCAAGGAUCAGGCCGAGGGACGCGCUAUUCUACUGCGAGAGCAGGCUUCAAACAUUCGCGCCCAUCACGCAGGGUUUGAGGCGUGUCUUGAGAAUCCUCGAGACAUUAGAUCUGAAUCAAGGCCAGCAGCCGCGGUAAUUCCAGCUCCAAUAGCGUAUAUUAAAGUUGUUGCAGUUAAAAAGCUCGUAGUUGAACCUUGGGCCUGGCUGACCGGUCCGCCUCACCGCGUGCACUGGCUCGGCCGGGCCUUUCCUUCUGUGGAUCCGCAUGCCCUUUACUGGGUGUGUUGGGGAAACAGGACUUUUACUUUGAAAAAAUUAGAGUGUUCAAAGCAGGCCUUUGCUCGAAUACAUUAGCAUGGAAUAAUAGAAUAGGACGGCCUUCCUAUUUUGUUGGUUUCUAGGAGUGCCGUAAUGAUUAAUAGGGAUAGUUGGGGGCAUCUGUAUUCAAUUGUCAGAGGUGAAAUUCUUGGAUUUAUUGAAGACAAACUACUGCGAAAGCAUUUGCCAAAGAUGUUUUCAUUAAUCAGUGAACGAAAGUUAGGGGAUCGAAGACGAUCAGAUACCGUCGUAGUCUUAACCAUAAACUAUGCCGACUAGGGAUCGGGCGANGUUACUAUCUUGACUCGCUCGGCACCUUUCGAGAAAUCAAAGUUUUUGG